rnacentral:rRNA from 1 species
GAUGAACGCUGGCGGCGUGCUUAACACAUGCAAGUCGAACGAACGACUAUUAACAGAACCUUUCGGGGCGAAGAAUAUAGAAGUUAGUGGCGGACGGGUGCGUAACGCGUGGGUAAUCUGCCUUUGUCAAAGGAAUAACUAUUCGAAGAAUAGCUAAAACCGUAUAACAUAUUAAUAGGGCAUCCUAAUAAUAUCAAAACUGAGGUGGACAAAGAUGAGCCCGCGUCUGAUUAGCUAGUUGGUGAGAUAAAAGCCCACCAAGGCAACGAUCAGUAGCCGACCUGAGAGGGUGAACGGCCACAUUGGAACUGAGACACGGUCCAAACUCCUACGGGAGGCAGCAGUGGGGAAUAUUGCACAAUGGGGGGAACCCUGAUGCAGCAACGCCGCGUGAGUGAAGAAGGCAUUCGUGUCGUAAAACUCUGUAGUAGGGGAAGAAAGAAAUGACAGUACCCUAAAAGAAAGCCCCGGCUAACUACGUGCCAGCAGCCGCGGUAAUACGUAGGGGGCAAGCGUUAUCCGGAAUAACUGGGCGUAAAGGGUGCGCAGGUGGUUUAACAAGUUAGUGGUGAAAGGCAUAGGCUCAACCAAUGUAAGCCAUUAAAACUGUUUAACUUGAGUGCAGGAGAGGAAAGUGGAAUUCCUAGUGUAGCGGUGAAAUGCGUAGAUAUUAGGAGGAAUACCAGUGGCGAAGGCGACUUUCUGGACUGCAACUGACACUGAGGCACGAAAGCGUGGGGAGCAAACAGGAUUAGAUACCCUGGUAGUCCACGCCGUAAACGAUGAGUACUAGGUGUCGGGUGAAGAACUCGGUGCCGAAGUUAACACAUUAAGUACUCCGCCUGGGGAGUACGCUCGCAAGAGUAAAACUCAAAGGAAUUGACGGGGACCCGCACAAGCAGCGGAGCAUGUGGUUUAAUUCGAAGCAACGCGAAGAACCUUACCUAAACUUGACAUACCAAUGACAGCCUUUUAAUCGAGGACUUUUACCUUCGGGUAGACAAUGGAUACAGGUGGUGCA